GCUGGCGGCAGGCCUAACACAUGCAAGUCGAGCGGAUGACGGGAGCUUGCUCCUUGAUUCAGCGGCGGACGGGUGAGUAAUGCCUAGGAAUCUGCCUGGUAGUGGGGGACAACGUUUCGAAAGGAACGCUAAUACCGCAUACGUCCUACGGGAGAAAGCAGGGGACCUUCGGGCCUUGCGCUAUCAGAUGAGCCUAGGUCGGAUUAGCUAGUUGGUGGGGUAAUGGCUCACCAAGGCGACGAUCCGUAACUGGUCUGAGAGGAUGAUCAGUCACACUGGAACUGAGACACGGUCCAGACUCCUACGGGAGGCAGCAGUGGGGAAUAUUGGACAAUGGGCGAAAGCCUGAUCCAGCCAUGCCGCGUGUGUGAAGAAGGUCUUCGGAUUGUAAAGCACUUUAAGUUGGGAGGAAGGGCAGUAAGUUAAUACCUUGCUGUCUUGACGUUACCGACAGAAUAAGCACCGGCUAACUCUGUGCCAGCAGCCGCGGUAAUACAGAGGGUGCAAGCGUUAAUCGGAAUUACUGGGCGUAAAGCGCGCGUAGGUGGUUUGUUAAGUUGGAUGUGAAAGCCCCGGGCUCAACCUGGGAACUGCAUCCAAAACUGGCAAGCUAGAGUACGGUAGAGGGUGGUGGAAUUUCCUGUGUAGCGGUGAAAUGCGUAGAUAUAGGAAGGAACACCAGUGGCGAAGGCGACCACCUGGACUGAUACUGAC
rnacentral:rRNA from 1 species